AAGAAACAGAGCCCUCACAUAGGAUGAGUCCCUAUAAAACACUACAGCCUCCCCCACCAUCUAACAGGCUGGGGAGGGCAACAGAAACAAAGGAAUGUCCUUGCCAUAUCGGACCGCAAGACCCUACAGCGGAUAGUGGGAACAGCAGAGAAGAUCAUCGGGGUCUCUCUCCCCUCUAUUAAGGACAUCUACACCACACGCUGCAUUCGCAAAGCCACCAGCAUUGUGGCUGAUCGGACACACCCCUCUUACACACUCUUCACACUCCUGCCAUCUGGAAAAAGGUACCGAAGCAUUCGGGCACACACAUCCCGACUGUGCAACAGCUUUUUUCCACAAGCCAUCCGUCUCCUCAACAAAAAGGGACUGGACUGAUAAACACACACACACUGAAUCAGGAACUCUGCCUCCUUUUGUUCUCACACUGGGUUUAAUGAAAGAAUAUUUCUGUUUGUCCAUUAAAGUUCUUUGUUGUGAUCUUUUAAAGGAUCCUGUGAUGAUCCAGAUCCUGGCUUGUCUCAGGAGUCUCUCAGUGACCUGAGCAGCAGCUGCAGCUCUGCUGGCCUCUGUGUUCACCUGCAGGAGACGUGGAGACCCGCGCUCACCUUCUGCAGCACUUAGACACAGUUGCAGUGAGGGAAGGAGGUUUCCUCUGCUGGCCUCAGACAGCAGCAGAAACAUCAGCCUCCCUGUCAGUGGAGAUCAGUUCUUAUGUGCUGUUGGCCAAACUCAGCGCCUCCCCGACUGCUGAGGAUCUGGGAUAUGCCUCUGGUAUUAUCAGGUGGCUGACUGGGCAGCAGAACUAUUACGGAGGCUUCUCCUCCACCCAGGUACGACACCACCCGAACAGCAUGAAGCUCAUCUUUGAGUUCAUAUACAGUCUUGGACCAAAUCAGCAGAAAUAAUCCUGAAGCUUUCAUGUUGUUGCUUUUCUCUCAGAUAUGCAGACUUGUUUUAGCAGGCAGGGAUGUUUUUAUUCUUUAUUUACAAGAUGAAAUUGACUUUGGUCUAAAAAUGUGUUGUUUUAACAGAACAGCCUUCUGUGCACCAACUACACAUAACAGCCUGUAAAUAACAGCUCAGCUGCGUCUGUAAGUUUCUACCUGUGAUUUCUCUGCUUUGUUUCUCUGAGAUCAUCUCACAUAUUUAACCUGUUUAACCUUUAUUUAACCAGGAAGUGAAGGUUAGAAACUCUUUGUGAGAGUGUGUUGAAGUGACACAGGCAGUUUGAACUUCAUGUCAACAUGAAUCCAUCCUGUAGGACACAGUGGAGGCUCUUCAGGCUCUCUGCUCCACCCUGGUGUUCAGUCCUGAAGGUUGGAGCACAGGGACAGUUCAGGCUCCAGCAGUCAGCUGACAUUUGAUCAGGGCAACAAGCUGCUCCACCAGGAGGAGGCGCUGCAGGACGUGUCAGGAAAGUACAGGCUGGAGGUGAAGCUGCAUGUGCUUCAGUGCAGGUCAGUGACAGCAUCAUGUGACCAGGUCCUGGUUGGUGUCAAACAGGCUUUCUUUGUUUCUUUGUACUUAUAAAACGCUAAAGAAGCAUUUUCACAUGUAAUCAAUGUGUUUUCAUAGACAACAUUAGAGCUGACAGUAAGAACUGCACACAGUACAAUUCUAUUUGACACUAAAUUAAAAAUCAAUAAAGUCACUUUGUGUCUACAUGAGAAUCAGAGAAACUUUCUUCAUCCCAGAGGGAAACUGAGCUGUCGGAGCAGCAAACACACAACAAACAUCAAGCACUGAUAGAAAAUGAGAAACACAGAUAUUGAUGAUAAAUGUUAAGAUAAAUAGAUAAAUAUAGAGAUAUAAAUAUAAAAGUGUGACGCUGUAGAAAAGUGACAGCAGGCUGCACUGAGCUGUGAUUGGUUCUGUUUGUCUCCCAGAUUUGUGCACCUACAACAUCCCAACACCUGCUGAUGUCCCCACUCUCAGUGUGAAAGUCCACACAGAGGUGGAGCCCACAGUUAUCAAAGGACACACCAUCAACCACAGAGAU